rnacentral:lncRNA from 1 species
UAACAGGCUUGAAUUUCAAAAAAAGGGAAAAAGAGUAAACAAAAAACUAUCCAGGUACAGGACAGCCCGGAGCAGCUCACGAAGUGCCUCCUGGACGAAUUCCACUAAGAAAAUCCACAGCAAGGCCGAGAUAAACUGACAGAGAGGCGGGGGCGCUGUUGAAGCGGGGAACUGGUGGCGCACCGGCAGCGAGGCGAAGAAGAGCACUGACGGCGAUCAGUGAUCGCGAGCAAGGGAAGGGUAGGAGAAUUAGCGCUGCCUGAAAGCAGGAGGAAGAGGGAGAAAACAAAACUAUAGGAUGAAAACAAACUAGCACGAUCUCUGUGCAGGCAAAACAUGAGCUGUGGAUGGAGCUGAGACAUAAACGAGCACAACACGACGAUCUGACAACAGACAGCACACGAGAGGAGACUAAAUAGAGAAGGAGUGAUUAACAUAAUGAAAACAAAACUAAAGAAUGAAAACAAAACUAGCACGAUCUACUGUGCAAGGCAAAACAUGAGCUGUGGGUGGAGCUGAGACUAUAAACGAGCACAACACGACGAUCUGACAACAGACAGCACACGAGAGGAGACUAAAUAGAGAAGGAGUGAUUAACAUAAUGCAGAGCAGGUGAUAGUGGCCAAUAACAAAAUAAUAAUGAAACAAGAGGGCGUUUUGUUUUCUCCCUCUUCCUCCUGAUUUCAGGCAGCGCUAAUUCUCCUACCCUUCCCUUGCUCGCGAUCACCGAUCGCCGUCAGUGCUCUUCUUCGCCUCGCUGCCGGUGCGCCACCAGUUCCCCGCCUCAACAGCGCCCCCGCCUCUCUGUCAAUUUAUCUCGGCCUUGCUGUGGAUUUUUUUUAGUGGAAUUCGUCCAGGAGGCACUUCGUGAGCUGCUCCGGGCUGCCCUGUACCUGGAUAGUUUUUUGUUUACUCUUUUUCCCUUUUUUUGAACUUCAAGCCUGUUAAAUAAACUGACCUUUUGGGCACCUGCAACUGAGUCCAAGUCUCGUACUGACAUGAAACAGGUAAGAUAUCUGCACUCGUGGUAUAUUAUAGUUUAUUAGAAACUAUUUAAAUCUAUUUGAUUUUAUUAAAAUAUUUUCAAAAUGCAUUUAUUCAAA